rnacentral:rRNA from 1 species
UAAGAGGUCCCGCCUGCCCUGUGACUAUAUGUUUAACGGCCGCGGUAUUUUGACCGUGCGAAGGUAGCGCAAUCACUUGUCUUUUAAAUAGGGACCUGUAUGAAUGGCAUAACGAGGGCUUAGCUGUCUCCUUUUUCAAGUCAAUGAAAUUGAUCUCCCCGUGCAGAAGCGGGGAUGCGACCAUAAGACGAGAAGACCCUGUGGAGCUUUAGACACCAAGGUAGACCAUGUUAAGCACCCCAAAACAAAGGGCCAAACUGAAUGAACCCUGCCCGCAUGUCUUCGGUUGGGGCGACCAUGGGGUAAAACAAACCCCCCACGCGGAAAAGGAGUACUACUCUCCUACAGCUUAGAGCUCCCGCUCUAAUAAACAGAAUUUCUGACCUAAAGAUCCGGCAAAGCCGAUCAACGGACCAAGUUACCCCAGGGAUAACAGCGCAAUCCUCUUUUAGAGCCCAUAUCGACAAGAGGGUUUACGACCUCGAUGUUGGAUCAGGACAUCCUAAUGGUGCAGCCGCUAUUAAGGGUUCGUUUGUUCAACGAUUAAAGUCC